AUGAUUAAAACAAAGUUGUGUUGUUAUCACUGGCAAAAUAAUGACUUCUGUUUCCCUGACAGAUUUCACAUUGCUUUUCUACCCCUGCUCCUGGAGUGGAGCAAUGGGAAGCUGUCCUUCGGAAUGACACAGAAGCAGUUGCAGAGCAGCACAAAGCAGAAAAUGUUUAAAAGACAUUUGUCAAGCUGGAAUACAGGGCACAGAUGUGUCAUGGAGAAACAAAGGUUCUGGAAGAAACUAAGGCUCUUGCUGAUUCCUGUGGAGAAGCUGGUGGAAAAACAAGGAAUGUCAUGGAGCUUUACACACCCAUUACAAGGAACAAAUACAGGUCAUUUCACAAAAGAGAUCAAAAGGAAGCUUUUCCAUUCCUCCUCUGCAGGUGGCCAGCAGCAGAUUAACUACUUACAGAAACUUCAACAUAUAAAUCUGGAUGACUUGUUUUACACAGCAUAGUAAUGCAAUGUUAUUGUCACGUUUUGUUUACAAACAGUAAAUUGUAUUAAAAACUGUCUCCACGUUGUUGGUUUUUUUUUCCAAAAUGACUCCCCACAUUCCUUCCUAAGAAUGUUAUUUGGAAGAAAUCUUUUGUUUUGAUGUAUGCAAAGUAUGUAUGAUGUUUUGAUGUAUGUUUUGAUGUACCUUGAAGCUGAAUGAGUAAUAUAUUUUAGCCAAGAAAUAGAAUACGUGAUAAUAAAAUCCCAUAAGAAAAAAACA
rnacentral:lncRNA from 1 species